GGACUGGUGGCUGAAGAUAAGCGAAGUGUUGUAAGUACUUUAAUGAAUAAAUUUCCCAUUCCA
rnacentral:tRNA from 1 species